CAGUCGCCGCGGGAAUACGAAGGGUGCAAGCGUUACUCGGAAUUACUGGGCGUAAAGCGUGCGUAGGUGGUGGUUUAAGUCUGUUGUGAAAGCCCUGGGCUCAACCUGGGAAUUGCAGUGGAUACUGGGUCACUAGAGUGUGGUAGAGGAUAGUGGAAUUUCCGGUGUAGCAGUGAAAUGCGUAGAGAUCGGAAGGAACAUCUGUGGCGAAGGCGACUAUCUGGGCCAACACUGACACUGAGGCACGAAAGCGUGGGGAGCAAACAGGAUUAGAUACCCCGGUAGUCCCUGUCUCUUAUAC
rnacentral:rRNA from 1 species